AGAGUUUGAUCCUGGCUCAGGAUGAACGCUAGCGGCAGGCUUAACACAUGCAAGUCGAGGGGUAACAGGGGAAGCUUGCUUUCCGCUGACGACCGGCGCACGGGUGCGUAACGCGUAUGCAACUUGCCUACUACUGGGGGAUAGCCCGGAGAAAUCCGGAUUAAUACCCCAUAAUAUUACUUGAUGGCAUCUGAAGGUAAUUAAAGAUUUAUUGGUAGUAGAUGGGCAUGCGUGACAUUAGAUAGUUGGUGAGGUAACGGCUCACCAAGUCCGCGAUGUCUAGGGGGUCUGAGAGGAUGAUCCCCCACACUGGUACUGAGACACGGACCAGACUCCUACGGGAGGCAGCAGUGAGGAAUAUUGGUCAAUGGAGGAAACUCUGAACCAGCCAUGCCGCGUGCAGGAUGACGGCCCUACGGGUUGUAAACUGCUUUUAUAUAGGAAGAAACAGGACUACGUGUAGUUCUCUGACGGUACUAUAAGAAUAAGGACCGGCUAACUCCGUGCCAGCAGCCGCGGUAAUACGGAGGGUCCAAGCGUUAUCCGGAUUUAUUGGGUUUAAAGGGUCCGUAGGCGGAUCAAUAAGUCAGUGGUGAAAUCCUACAGCUCAACUGUAGAACUGCCAUUGAAACUGUUGGUCUUGAGUUCGGUUGAAGUGGGCGGAAUAAGUCAUGUAGCGGUGAAAUGCAUAGAUAUGACUUAGAACACCAAUUGCGAAGGCAGCUCACUAAGUCGAUACUGACGCUAAGGGACGAAAGCGUGGGGAGCGAACAGGAUUAGAUACCCUGGUAGUCCACGCCGUAAACGAUGAUAACUCGAUGUUGGCGGUACACGGUCAGCGUCCAAGCGAAAGCGUUAAGUUAUCCACCUGGGGAGUACGAUCGCAAGAUUGAAACUCAAAGGAAUUGACGGGGGCCCGCACAAGCGGUGGAGCAUGUGGUUUAAUUCGAUGAUACGCGAGGAACCUUACCAAGGUUUAAAUGUUUAGUGCUUUUACUGGAAACAGUAUUUUCCUUCGGGACGCUUUACAAGGUGCUGCAUGGUUGUCGUCAGCUCGUGCCGUGAGGUGUCGGGUUAAGUCCCAUAACGAGCGCAACCCCUAUUUCUAGUUGCCAGCGGGUUAAGCCGGGGACUCUAGAGAAACUGCCCGUGCAAACGGAGAGGAAGGUGGGGAUGACGUCAAAUCAUCACGGCCCUUACAUCUUGGGCUACACACGUGCUACAAUGGCAGAUACAAAGGGCAGCUACACAGCGAUGUGAUGCUAAUCUCGAAAGUUUGUCUCAGUUCGGAUUGGAGUCUGCAACUCGACUCUAUGAAGCUGGAAUCGCUAGUAAUCGCGUAUCAGCAAUGACGCGGUGAAUACGUUCCCGGGCCUUGUACACACCGCCCGUCAAGCCAUGGAAGCUGGGGGUACCUAAAGUCGGUUACCGCAAGGAGCCGCCUAGGGUAAAACUAGUAACUGGGGCUAAGUCGUAACAAGGUA
rnacentral:rRNA from 1 species